UCAAGGACUCAGUAAUGGACAGCUGUAAUUAUCUUUACAGCUUUAAAGAGCUUGGGCUUUGAUGGCAGACAGACUGGAUUUGAACCCUGGCUUGACCAUUUACUACAUUAGUCUGGGUUGAAAUGACGAGGAAGGGUUUUACAGAAUGAUUCCCCGAAGCAAACAACCCAGAGAGAAGAAAAGCAAAAGACACACAGCUAAAUGGACAACAGUUCCCGGCCUCAUCACAGGAGAACUCUUUGGAGCCAAGUGAACCCCUGGGUGUCCUUUUUCCCACCCCAUCACUUCAACACUUUGUGAUCAAGUUCAAACUUAGUCCCAACACAGAGUGUCACUGCAAAUUGUUUAUUAAAACACAAAGCAAUGGACAGUGAAAAACAUCCUGAUUUUGUACUUUUUGGUGGGAGUGGGGUGGGACAUGGAAGGGGUAGGGUCAGAUGGAGACAGCCCAGAAGGAAAGCCAGCUCUAUCCACCCCUACAGCUUCCCCGGCCAACCAGGUUCAAAGCCCGUCAGUUAUAUCUCACUGUGCCGUUGUCAAUGCACGUUGUGGCUACUGACAAAGAGUUGGUUUGGCCUCCACAGAGAGAGGAUGGGAAACUAGAGUAGAAGCUACAAGGGCUAAGAACUUGAUGCUUUUUCUCCAGUACUUGGUACAGAAUAGAGCAGCCAGGCCCAAUGUGGAAGGGUGGGGUUGGUUUCCUGACAAACCAGGUUAGACCAAUAAUGGUUGAAGAGGCUGCCCUGGGCUCAGAAUGGGCAGCUGGUCCUUGCCUGGGAAAACUUCGUGGAAGGGAAAGGUAACAUUCCUUAAGUCCAAGGAGAGAACCAAUCCAGGGUCAAAUUUCUUUUCAUUCCCUGGAUCACAACACACCAGGGAAGAGAGGAGUCAAGAAUGUCUCUCCCUGCCAGUGCUCCCCUCCUACCUCGCAACUCGGCUCUCCCUUCCCGACAGUUGUCCUUUGAAAGGACGGAAAGCGCACUUCAGUUUGUUGUUGUUUUUCCUCAUACUGAAAUAAAGCACUGAAGCUCAAAAUAGAGGUGAGAAUGGAGUUCUGCUUUCCCCAGUGCUAUGUGCCCCCAUCUCACAAGACUGCCUGGAUGCAAGAGGUGCCAAGGCCCUCUCUGCCAACUCAAACAGGCACUACUGUUUCCCUGGCUGCCAGCACAAUCCUGGCUCCUUGUGUUUAUACUCCUGGGGGAACCCGUCCCAAGAGAUCCAUCCUGCUCU